GGCCCGUUAGCUCAGGUGAUUAAAGCGUCGUGCUGAUAACGAGAGGGUCGUGGGUUCGAUCCCCACACUGGCCA